AUUGAACGCUGGCGGCCGGCCUAACACAUGCAAGUCGAGCGAGCGGAGGACGGGUGAGUAAUGUCUGGGAAACUGCCUGAUGGAGGGGGAUAACUACUGGAAACGGUAGCUAAUACCGCAUCCCAUCAGAUGUGCCCAGAGGGGAUUAGCUAGUAGGUGGGGUAACGGGUCACCUAGGCGACGCUCCCUCGCUGGUCUGUGAGGAUGAACAGCCACGCUGGAACUGAGACACGGUCCAGACUCCUACGGGAGGCAGCGGUGGGGAUGAUUGGACAAUGGGCGCAAGCCUGAUGCAGCCAGGCCGAGUGUGUGAAGCAGGCCUUCGGGUUGUAAAGCACUUUCAGCGGGGAGGCGUUACCCGCAGAAGAAGCACCGGCUAACUCCGGGCCAGCAGCCGCGGUAAUUC
rnacentral:rRNA from 1 species